AGAAGAGAUCUCUUUGAAUCUCUUCCACCAAGCUCACCAGAUCAAGUAAUUCGGACAUUUUAAAUUUUAUCCAACAGUCCAUCUGUUUUGAUGCCUUAAAAGCUGUAAUAAUUUUUUACCGUUUGAUGAAAUUUAAAAAACUUGGAUCACUUGAUCCGGUAGCCUAGGCUAUGCAAAAUCCGACAGAAAUACAAAAAUACCCUAAUUCAAAACCCUCGUGCAUCUCUUUCUCCUUCACUCUCCCCACGCCGCUGCUCUUCAUCUUGUAAUUCCAUGUUUUCCAGAGAACUCUAUAUCGAGUAGGACUCGGAGAGCGAGAGGGACGGGAGAAGGCUGAAAAAAAAAAAAGGCCAAUCGUAGUAGCAAACUAUGAACCACACAACAGGAUCAAAGACAUUCGCCAGAGUUCAGGAAGAAUAUGUAUGUGUAGUUCAUUUUAAUUGAUUAAUUUACAAUUUAUGGAAAGAUACGAGUCAGCGUGGAAGAAGGUAUCUCUAGUUGGUAUCUUGGCAUCUGAAACGGUGAUUACUGCAUAUAAGACAUGGGCUGCGUAGGCAUCUGAUACAAAGGAUAUGAAGAACGAUCGAGGUGGCUGACUCAAGCCCGAAUUCUAUGGUGCCUGGGUGCUGUGCCGUUAUGUCCAACAUUUAUUGUUUAUGUCUAAUAUAAGCGACAAUAUUGUUUUGUUAUCCGACACUAUCUAAAUUACUUGUCAAAACUAUCUUAUCCGAUAGCAUAUAGAAUAAAACCGCUACUACUCUUUGUCACAUUAAGCUAA